rnacentral:rRNA from 1 species
UCCGUAGGGGGCUAGCGUUGUCCGGAAUCAUUGGGCGUAAAGAGCGUGUAGGCGGUCCGGUAAGUCCGCUGUGAAAGUCGGGGGCUCAACCCUCGAAUGCCGGUGGAUACUGUCGGGCUAGAGUGCGGAAGAGGCGAGUGGAAUUCCUGGUGUAGCGGUGAAAUGCGCAGAUAUCAGGAGGAACACCUAUUGCGAAGGCAGCUCGCUGGGACGUUACUGACGCUGAGACGCGAAAGCGUGGGGAGCAAACAGG